GUUUUCUUGAUAAUAAUUUAAAAUUUAAUCUGCUCAAUGAUUAUUUAAAUUGCCGCAGUAUUUUAACUGUGCAAAGGUAGCAUAAUAAUUAGCUUUUUUAUUGGGAGCUGGAAUGAAUAAUUGGACGAUAAAAUUUCUGUCUCUAUUAAUUUUAUUUAAUUUUACUUUUAAGUUAAAAGGCUUAAAUUUUUUUAAAAAACGAGAAGACCCUAUAGAGUUUAAUUUGUCGAAGAUUACUUUUUAUUGGUAUUUUUAAAUUUAUUUUUUUAAUAAAUUUUGUUGGGGUGACUAAAAGAUUUAUAAAACUCUUUUAAUUUUAAUCAAUUGUAUUUGAAUAUAAAAUCUAUAUUUUUAAAUUUAAAAUAAAUUACCUUAGGGAUAACAGCGUAAUUUUUUUUAAAGUUCAUAUUAAAAGAAAAGUUUGCGACCUCGAUGUUGGAUUAAAAUAUAUUUUAGGUGUAGAAGCUUAAAAAUUGAGUCUGUUCGACUCUUAAAAUUUU
rnacentral:rRNA from 1 species